GCACAGAGUUAGCCGGUGCUUAUUCCUUAAGUACCGUCAUUGAUUCUUCCUUAAGAAAAGAGGUUUACACACCACGAUGCUUCAUCCCUCACGCGGUAUUGCUCCAUCAGGCUUUCGCCCAUUGUGGAAAAUUCCCCA
rnacentral:rRNA from 1 species